GACGUAGGGCGCGAGCGUUGUCCGGAUUUAUUGGGCGUAAAGAGCUCGUAGGCGGCUUGUCGACGUCGAAUGUGAAAUCUCGGGGCUCAACUCCGAAGCUUGCAUUCGUAUACGGGCAGGCUAGAGUUCGGUAGGGGAGACUGGAAUUCCUGGUGUAGCGGUGAAAUGCGCAGAUAUCAGGAGGAACACCGGUGGCGAAGGCGGGUCUCUGGGCCGAUACUGACGCUGAGGAGCGAAAGCGUGGGGAGCGAACAGG
rnacentral:rRNA from 1 species